rnacentral:rRNA from 1 species
UACGUAGGGUGCAAGCGUUGUCCGGAAUUAUUGGGCGUAAAGAGCUCGUAGGCGGUCUGUCGCGUCGGAUGUGAAAAUCCAGGGCUUAACCCUGGACCUGCAUUCGAUACGGGCAGACUAGAGUUCGGUAGGGGAGACUGGAAUUCCUGGUGUAGCGGUGAAAUGCGCAGAUAUCAGGAGGAACACCGGUGGCGAAGGCGGGUCUCUGGGCCGAUACUGACGCUGAGGAGCGAAAGCCAGGGGAGCAAACGGG